ACUCCUACGGGAGGCAGCAGUUAGGAAUCUUCCACAAUGGGCGAAAGCCUGAUGGAGCGACGCCGCGUGAGGGAUGAAGGUCUUCGGAUCGUAAACCUCUGAAUCAGGGACGAAAGACGCUUUAUGCGGGAUGACGGUACCUGAGUAAUAGCACCGGCUAACUCCGUGCCAGCAGCCGCGGUAAUACGGAGGGUGCAAGCGUUACCCGGAAUCACUGGGCGUAAAGGGCGUGUAGGCGGACACUUAAGUCUGGUUUUAGAGACUGCGGCUCAUCCGCAGGGAUGGACUGGAUACUGGGUGUCUUGACCUCUGGAGAGAGAACUGGAAUUCCUGGGGUAGCGAUCGAAUGAGUCAUACCAGGAGCAACACCAAUGGCGCAAGCCAGGUUCCUGGACAGAAAGGUGACGCUGAGACGCUGAAAGUAUGGGGAGCGAACCGGAUUAGAUACCCGAGUAGUCCCACAUCAUAAACGAUGUACGUCGCCUAACCGCAGGAUGCAGUGGUUGGCGAAGCUAACGCGAUAAACGUACCGCCUGGGAAGUACGGCCGCAAGGUUGAAACU
rnacentral:rRNA from 1 species